AUUGAACGCUGGCGGCAGGCCUAACACAUGCAAGUCGAACGAGUGGCGGACGGGUGAGUAAUGUCUGGGUAACUGCCUGAUGGAGGGGGAUAACUACUGGAAACGGUAGCUAAUAACGCAUACCAUCGGAUGUGCCCACAUGGGAUUAGCUAGUAGGUGGGGUAAAGGCUCGACUAGGCGACGAUCCCUAGCUGGUCUGCAAGGAUGACCAGCCACAGUGGAACUGUGACACGGUCCAGACUCCUACGGGAGGCAGCAGUAGGGAAUAUUGCACCAUGGGCGCAAGCCUGAUGCAGCCAUGCCGCGUGUAUGAAGAAGGCCUUCGGAUUGUAAAGUACUUUCAGCGGGGAGGCGUUACCCGCAUAAGAAGCACCGGCUAACUCCGUGCCAGCAGCCGCGGUAAUAC
rnacentral:rRNA from 1 species